GAUGAACGCUGGCGGCGUGCCUAAUACAUGCAAGUCGAGCGAAGCGGGGACGGGUGAGUAACACGUGGAUAAACUUCUUUAAGACUGGGAAAAAUUCGGGAAACCGGAGCUAAACCGGAUACUUAUACCUGGAUCCGCGCUGCAUUAGCUAGUUGGUAAGGUAACGGCUUACCCAGGCAACGAUGCAUAUCCGACCUGAGAGGGUGAUCGGCCACACUGGAACUGAGACACGGUCCAGACUCCUACGGUAGGCAGCAGUAGGGAAUCUUCCGCAAUGGGCGAAAGCCUGACGGAGCAACUCCGCGUGAGUGAUGAAGGUCUUCGGAUCGUAAAACUCUGUUAUUAGGGAAGCGGUACCUAAUCAGAAAGCCACGGCUAACUACGUGCCAGCAGCCGCGGUAAUAC
rnacentral:rRNA from 1 species